UAACGAAUGUCCUUGAAAGAAUUCACUGCAGUUUGUUUUAAGUAAAACUAAAAUAUAAAUUAAAAUGAAUGUGUUGUACUCCCCCUGUUCUUCUGCCUUUUUCUUUCUUUUUUUUUUUUUUUUUGUCUUUAUAUUAGGAGAAAGGGAGAUGUGGAAUGUCGGGAAUUGUUUAUAAAAUUAGCACACACUGCUCCCAUGAACGUGGAAAAUAUCUGACCCACAGUUGCCCCAGUUUGUUAAACAUUGUGGAUACUCUAUGGAUGGCUGUUCUUCCACAGCCUCCUGGCUGCUGGAGACAAAACCCUGGGUAAGCAAAGUUGGAUGGUUUUCAAAACUGUCAUCCUUAGUAGAUUUACAGACACAAAGAGCUGUCACUAAAUUUAGUCAGUGACCCUGAACUUGGAAUAACUGGAACUGGUACUCUCAGCCAGGGCUGUCCUAAAGUCUAAGGAGCAAUUAGGGGCCAAUAACAAGAUUGGAUUCUGACAUGCUGGGUGAGAGAGCCACUUACAAGACAGAUGGAGGACAAAGCCACUUAGAAGGUACUCGGAGGACAACCCUACCAAGUGAGAGAGCAGAGCCAAGCCCCAGGAAACAGACUGGACCCAUAGAGGAAACCCUGCAGAAAAAAAGGAAAGAUGACAGAAAAGGUGCAGCUUAA
rnacentral:lncRNA from 1 species